rnacentral:lncRNA from 1 species
CAGAACAUGAUUCCGGGCGCCGAGAAACGCCCGUUUCUAUUGGGACACUGGAUAGCAGUUGUUUUUCCUGGGGCUUAUUUUAUCCCUCCAGCAGCCUAUAAAUACCUGGUAAACGCCCCUUUGCUGCUCUUUCUCUCCCAUCUUCACAGAGAAGUCUCUUUUAGCAUCUCUACCCUCGGAUUUACCUUAAUUUGCAUCAAACUUCCAUUGAUCCAGCUUGAUGGAGUGCUGAUUCUGCAGUUCUUCAGCGACGACCUCCAGUGUUUUGGCUCGUGCGCGACGUAGAAAGGUCGGAUUUCGACGAAACUUGGUUUGCUGGAUUCUAGACUUCUAGAGGAAUCCAAGAAGCCCUGAAUUGCAGAUUUUGGUUGAGGUUA